UACGUAGGUGACAAGCGUUGUCCGGAUUUACUGGGCGUAAAGAGCGCGCAGGCGGUCGUUCAAGUCGAGUGUGAAAGCCCCCGGCUCAACUGGGGAGGGUCAUUCGAUACUGAUCGACUCGAAGGCAGGAGAGGGUAGUGGAAUUCCCGGUGUAGUGGUGAAAUGCGUAGAUAUAGGAAGGAAUACCAGUGGCGAAGGCGGCCUCCUGGAUCGAUACUGACGCUGAGGCGCGAAAGCGUGGGGAGCAAACAGG
rnacentral:rRNA from 1 species